UACGAAGGGGGCGAGCGUUGUUCGGAAUUACUGGGCGUAAAGGGCGCGUAGGUGGUUUGUCGCGUUGUUCGUGAAAACUCACAGCUCAACUGUGGGCGUGCGGGCGAUACGGGCAGACUGGAGUACUGCAGGGGAGACUGGAAUUCCUGGUGUAGCGGUGGAAUGCGCAGAUAUCAGGAGGAACACCGGUGGCGAAGGCGGUUCUCUGGGCAUUACCUGACGCUGAGGAGCGAAAGUGUGGGGAGCGAACAGG
rnacentral:rRNA from 1 species